AAACCCUAGAGACCCUCUCAUUUCUCUCAUCUCCCUCACCAAGUUCCAAACCCUAGCCGCCCCCAAAGUCUUUACCUCCAUCGGUCGCCGCCGCCGCAUUAAACCAUCCUAAUCUUCCCCAAAUCGAUACCCUAUACUCCUCGACCUUCUAUAAUCACUAUCCUACCACCUAUUUCCCCAAAAUCCCCACCCAUUUAAUUCAAAUUCAAAUCUGAGAUUCCAAAAGAAGUAAAAACCCUAAUCUGUUCCUCUUUCUAAUUCCAAUGGUUUUCAAAGCUCGAUUUGUGCCGAAAUUUAUGCCAAUCAAUUAUUCUCAGUAAGAACAAUCGAUUAGUAUCAUUUUUGGUUCUAUAAAGUCACCGCUGGCCUGCCAAACUUCGUCGUCUUCGUCAUUCGUUGGCUUACCUCAUUCGUCGUCACGCUCAUGGCCAUAAUCAGUAUAUCUUUCUCCUCAUAUCUCUUUGUUUCUUUUUCCAUUUUUGAAUUGUCACUUAUGUGUUAAUCUUGAUUAGUUUUUUUAUUGAUUCGUUUAAUUUCAGUAAAAAUAUGUUUAUUUAGUUACUUGCAUUGUUUAGUUUAAUUACAUAUUCUUAGGCUAAUUAAAUCAACUCUAGUCAACUCAGUAGAUUAAUUAGGUUUUAAUUAAUGGAUUGUUCCUGUUUCGGAUUGUUUCUGUUUGGUUUUAUCUCUGAGUUUUGCUUUAAUUAUUUGAGUUUAGAGGUUUGAAUGCCAAUUUAAUUAUGAGGGUGAAAGGGUAAUAACAAGAACCUUAAAGGGGUUAAUUGGGAAGUUAAAAUGGGGAAAAUAUCUAAAGGUUCUAGUAUUGGACAACUGUCCCUCUUUUAGUGUGAAAAUGCUGAAUUUGGAUAAAAGGACAGACACCUGUACUAAAUCUGUUAAAAAUGUUGUACUAUCUGACAUUUCUGAAUUUUAGGGUAGAAUAUUCCCUUUUUAUGAUGAUCUUUGUGCAUUCUAUAUAAGAUAUAGACCACCACUCACUCACACACACAUUCAUUAGCCUAUUUCAACUCUAAGAAUUCUCUGAAAACACACAGAAACACUGCUGCAUUUUCCUUUCUCUUGCAUUCUGAGCAGAAAACACAGAUAGAGUUCCUAGAAAUCCCUAAGAAGUCCUGAUUUUUUCUUCAUUCAUUUAUGAUCCUUCUCGAAAUGAUUUUAGGCUAAAGUUUGAAGUUUGUUUUGGGGUUAUUCAUUGUUGUUUUACCUGUUUGAUUGUUGCUGUUUUUGAGCUUGCUGAUCUAUUUCUCCAGUUUUCAGCCUUUACUUGACAUUUAUUGACUAUGUUUCAUAGAGAUAUGUGAGAUUCUCUCCUUGUAACCCUUAUGAUUGUGAAAAUACAUGAUAAAUAUGUUGAUAUUGUGCUUAAGCCCGCUACAUGUGUGCUAUGAUGUUUGUAGGAUUAUUUAUCCAUCUUUGUUCUAUGUUUGAAAUCUGAUUCAUUUGCCUAGUUGUAGUUGAAUACACAUGCUGUGUUGACUCAUUAACUGGGCUAAUGUGUUACUUUGUUCACUUAUCUUGAUGUAAGAUUGUUGUUAAAUCAAAUGAGGUCAUACAUGUUUUCUGAAUGUAUUUGUUGACUUAAGGAUAAAUUGAGAAAAUCAGGGUUUGCUUCUGUUAACUUCUGUUCCUAGAUCUCUUUGAUUAAGCAUGAAUUUAGGAUUUGGCACCUCUAUAAUAUACUGUUCGAGUGAUUGUUUGUGUUAAUGUGUAAUAGAAAAAGUCAUUUGUUGCCACAAAUAUGACGAAUGUUCAUGGAUCUGACCAUUAAUUGGUCAAACUUGUAAACCCCAAAGCUAAAAGAUUAUGUCAAGAAUGUUUGAAACAGCUGUAGUUUAAGUGUGCUCAUGUAGAAAGAUAUACAUUUUAGGACUUUAGUGUAAUUCUGAGUAUGAAUACCUUGUAUUAUCUAUUGUAGUUAAAUAGAUUUUGAACUUAAUUAUUGUAAUUAAUUUUUUAUUACUGUUAUUCGAAUCAGCCAUGAAUUUGUCAAAUUAGUGUGAUGCAAUUACAAUUAGAGUAUUGGUCUAACGUUGAGAGGUUGGGGCUAUGGGCUCGACAUUAAAGCCCAAUCUUCUGCCUAGCGAUAUUUUGAGCAAAUUUCUUUAAGAAAUGUAAAAGAAAAAGGAAAGUAGGAAAGAUUUCCAAAAAAGGGCUUUAACUAAUUAAGACUGAUAACCGCUAUGAUAGAAUGUGGGCACAUGUAAGAGAUUUUGUUGGGGCAUUUGCAUCUAUACCCGCCUUUUGUGUCACGUUUUAACUUGUGCCCGCUUUGCAAAAAAAAUUGCAAGCGUACCUGCUUUUUUGCAUAACUUCAGCAUACAGGGCUGAAGUAGCAAAGGCAAUCGCGCAAAACUUCAGCAUUCUAGUAGUCGGGCCUGAAGUUCAGCUCUAGAGCUGAAGUUUUUGUUUUGUAACUGUCGAACUUCAGCUUUAGAACUGAAGUUUUUGUUUGUAACUGACAAAGUUUUUGUUUGUAAGUUUCAGCUCUAGAGCUGAAGUUUUUGUUUUUGAACUAUCGAACUUCAGCUCUAGAGCUGAUGUUUUUGUUUUUUAACUAUCGAACUUCAGGUCUAGAGCUGAAAUUUUUGUUUGUAAGCUUCAGCUCUAGAGCUGAAGUUUUUGUUUUUUAACUAUUAAACUUCAGCUCUAGAGCUGAAGUUUUUGUUUUUAAGCUUCAGCUCGAGAGCUGAAGUUUUUGUUUUGUAACUGUCGAACUUCAACUGUAGAGCUGAAAUUUUUAUUUGUAACUGGCGAACUUUAGCUCUAGACCUGAAGUUUUUUCCGAAAAAAUAAGCUUUUUAUGUUAUCGUCCGCUUUAAAUAUAUGAAACUGGAGUCUAACGGAUACUUGAAAGUGUAUGAGUGGCAACGUCAGUGGAAAGAGGUGGAUGAUCUCCUGACAGGUACAAGGUACAGGAUAAGGCCUUGGUCUAGAAAUAGCAGAGUUUUAUGUUCUACUGUAGAGUGUCACUGAACCAGAAAAAAGCUUCAUAGCAUAAUCUGCAAUCUCCUUCGUCUCAUAUCCAACUAACACAACUACUGUAAAUAUCCCGUGUAUCAUUCUCUAGCUAGAAAUGGUGCAACCACAGUGUUAGAACACUGUAUAUCAACUCGGAUCUUCGUUGCUAUCUCUUAGUCCUUUUUAUUAAGGAUUAUCUAUAACCUCAUGCGAUCUGUUUGAUACCUUACUUUUGCAGAAAAGGGAGAAGGAGAAGUUUGAGAAAGAAGAGGCGGAUAUAACUUUGAGGAGGAGAAGGAGGAGAAAGGGGGCUGAAAUUAUUUAAAAAGUGGGUACAAGUUAAAAUUUUAAAAAAAAAAGGGUAUAAGUUAAAUGGGGCCGACCAAAUAGGGCGCCCCGUGCAAUUUUUACGAUUUUGUUUCAGCGACAUUUGGGUUUGGACAGUCUCAACCUGUUAAAGCCCAAUCAACUUAGUUAUUUGGUCGCCCCGUGCAAUUUUUAUGAUUUUGUUUCAGCGACAUUUGGGUUUGGACAGUCUCAACCUGUUAAAGCCCAAUCAACUUAGUUACUAGAUUAAUAAUUAGCCCAUUAUCCCUUCAUAAAUAAAAAUCUUCUGAUUUUAAAAAUGGAGUAGUAAGUUGUAAACAUCUCUAAAGUGGUUAAUUCGUAUAUGUUUAGACAGAGCUAAAUAUUCUUUGAUUUCCA
rnacentral:lncRNA from 1 species